rnacentral:rRNA from 1 species
GAGGAUUAUACUGUCUCCCCCCCUAAAUCAAUGAAACUGAUCCCCCCGUGAAGAAGCGGGGAUAAAUAUAUAAGACGAGAAGACCCUAUGGAGCUUUAAACUAAACACCACUUACCUUCAACCACUCCCUUACAAACAGGUAAAGAUCGUGUGUGUUUUCAGUUGGGGUGACUGCGGAGCAAAAUAAAACCUCCACGAUGAAAUAAUCCUCUAAUCUAAGAACAACAUUUCAAAGAAUCAACAAAUUGACAUAAAUUGACCCAAAUAUUAAUUUGAUCAACGAACCAAGUUACCCUAGGGAUAACAGCGCAAUCCAUUUCAAGAGCUCAUAUCGACAAAUG